rnacentral:rRNA from 1 species
CCUACGGGAGGCAGCAGUGGGGAAUAUUGGACAAUGGGCGCAACCCUGAUCCAGCGACGCCGCGUGCGUGAUGAAGUAUUUCGGUAUGUAAAGCUCUAUCAGCAGGGAAGAAAAUGACGGUUCCUGACUAAGAAGCCCCGGCUAACUCCGUGCCAGCAGCCGCGGUAAUACGUAGGGGGCAAGCGUGAUCCGGAUUUACUGGGUGUAAAGGGAGCGUAGACGGUGCAGCAAGUCUGAUGUGAAAGGUCGGGGCUCAACCGCGGGACUGCAGUUGAAACUGUUGAACUGGAGUACAGGAGAGGUAAGCGGAAUUCCUAGUGUAGCGGUGAAAUGCGUAGAUAUUAUGAGGAACACCAGUGGCGAAGGCGGCUUACUGGACUGUAACUGACGUUGAGGCUCGAAAGCGUGGGGAUCAAACAGGAUUAGAUACCCCAGUAGUC